rnacentral:sRNA from 1 species
UUUCGUCCGCGAACGCAUUAGUGGUGCCUUCCGGUAUCCCCGCGGAAGCCUUGGAAUGCAGCCGCGCAGGCGGUGGAUCCGGACGACUGCGAAACAAGCCGGAUCGCCAUGCAAGUCGGCCCCCUGCCGGGCCGGCGACACUUUCGAAUUGACGGGGACUCCCUAAAGCCAGCCGCACUAACCCGGCGCGAGAAACCGCUCGGGGGCCCAUGCCAAUCCCAUGGGGCAGUAACAGACGGCGUGGAUAAUCCGGGCGCCAAAAGCGUCCGGAGCAGUGGGUGAUCCGCAGCGAAGCUCCUACACCCGGUCCCCGGGCACGGAGAACGUUCACAGACUAGGUGGAAGUGGGCGGAGCCUCGCGACUCCGCUUAAGAUAUAGUCGGGCCUCCCGGGAAACCGCGAGGAUCGGCGGCAUUUGGAGCCUCGCUCCGACGUCGACCGCAAGCCGUUCCGUAGGUGAACCUGCGGAAGGAUCAUUAACAGUGGAUCGAGGGGCGCAAGCCGUCUCAUCUUGCUCCGGCGGACCUGGGUGUGACCCCGGGCACCCGCCGGCGCAUUAGUCCCGCCGGCAGUGGGAGAGAAGCGUGAAGGUGUGGUAUGGGCUUGCUGGGCGCGUGUGUUGGAAGGCCUUCCUCGCGUGCAAGGACGCGCGAGGUACUGCAAAAUCAACCAGGCAAGCCAAACCCCCCAGCGCUCGCCCGCUUGGAAAAAUCUGCUAGGCGGGAGUGCAGCGGCUUUGCCCGACCCCUCCCUCCAAACUCCAACCCUUGCGUACAAUACCUCUGUUGCCUCGGCGGGUGCGCCCGUCGGUGGACUCCAACCAAACGCCAUCUUAACAGCGUUGUCUGAGCGAGAUUAGCAACCGUCAAAACUUUCAACAACGGAUCUCUUGGUUCUGGCAUCGAUGAAGAACGCAGCGAAAUGCGAUAAGUAGUGUGAAUUGCAGAAUUCAGUGAAUCAUCGAAUCUUUGAACGCACAUUGCGCCCUUUGGCAUCCCGAAGGGCAUGCCUGUUCGAGCGUCAUUGUCACCACUCGACGGAAGUCCGGCGGAUCCGCCGGGCUCCUGCGGUGUUGGGGGACGUCCCGCCCCGCGCGAAGACUCCCCCGGAAUCCAUUGGCGGCACGAUGCCGGCUCCGAGCGCAGCAGAAACCUCGCUCCGCGGGCCCGGCACCGCAUCGGCCUCGAAACCCACCUUCAGGUUGACCUCGGAUCAGGUAGGGAUACCCGCUGAACUUAA